rnacentral:rRNA from 1 species
AUGACGUGGGGAGGAUCAUCAUGGGGCAGUGAAAAUUAUCUCGAAGGUAGCAAGGAGGAACAAGGGGACGAAUUGUUGAUCAAGCAUGGCCGUGAAAGAUCGGGCCAUCUACACGCGCGAACUAGCAUCUUGCUAGUUUGUGCUUCAUCACCCCCGGAGAUGCACGGCGUCCUCGCCGUGAAGAACUCGGCGUAUGAGGCGUGGGAGGCCGUGCGCACCAUGCGCAUGGGAGUGACGUGCGUGCGGGAGGCCACGGCGCAGCGCCUCCGAAUGGAAUUCGAGCAAGUCAACUUCAAGGACGGUGAGACGCUGGACGCGUUCGCCAUGCGGCUCACCAGCCUCGUCAACAACCUCCGGUCGCUGGGCGACAACGUGGAGGAGGUGCGGGUGGUGCAGAAAUUCCUGCGCGUCGUCCCGGCCAGGUACACGCAGAUCGCCUGCGCCAUCAAGACCCUCCUCAAUCUGAGGACGCUGACGGUGGAAGAGCUCGUUGGCCGACUCCGAUCGGUCGAGGAACGCUAUGGCACCGAGCUGAAGGGCCACGCCGGCCAGCUCCUGCUCACAGAGGAGGAAUGGUACGCGCGCAAGAACCAACGAGAGCAAGGGCAGGGCUCGGGCUCCAACGGUGCCGCUGGUGGCGGUGGGCAACGCAACGGCAAGCCACAAGCUGGUGGCGGCGGCCAGCGACGGGGGUGCGACAUGUCCAAGGUAAAGUGCUAUAAUUGCAACAAGCAUGGGCACUUCUCCAAGGACUGCAAGGAGCCUCGUCGAUCGAUGACGACCAGCAAGCCUCCUGCUGGCGAGGUCAUGCACCCUGCACGAGCAGGAGCUCAUGCUCUUGAUGGCCACGUGCGGCCGCCGGGACUGCUCCAGGAGACAGAGUGCGGUGUCCCGCGCGCGACGCACGCGCACACGCGCCUGGAGCUGGGGACGUCGCGAUUGCGGGUGAGGCCGGAAGGAGAAGCACGGCGAGAAGCACAAGUUGCCCAUGCAUGCAUGCAGAGGUGGGACGCACCCCGAGGGCAGCGCUUGGGUUUUCCAGUGUCCCCACUAGAGCGUGCAACCGCAGGAUCAGGCGCGCGUACGUACGACCAGGGGCGGAUCUGGGCCCCAGGCCCCCAGGGCCCAGGCCCGAGGCGUGGCAAAUCCAUCCAGGCCCAGGCCAGCAGAUGUGCUCGCUCCAUGCCUCCAUUCGGUCGCAUCAGCACCGAGCCAACGAGGCACCGCAUCGCCCUGCACACCGCUCGCCGCCUCACCCCAGACCUAGAUCGACGCAGGAAGCCGCCGCCUCCGCCGCCCGCCGGUGACUCCCCUCCGCUCCGGCGCUCCCCUGCUCGCCUACUCCGGCUGGUCCCCUGCUGCUCCGGCCUCUGGUACUCGCCGGCUCGUCGCCCCGGCCUUCUUCCCUCUGCUCCAGGCACUGCUCUAGUGCUCUGCUCUGCCUACUGCUGCCCAGAAUUGACUGAGUUGAGGAAUAAGAUGGGUGAUGAUUGGUUGAAUUUUUCCAUGGUGUGCAAUAUUGAGCGAGAAAUAUUUGCAAAGGUUGAUGAUGAUGCUAUUAUAUAUCGUUUUCAAUCCUAUAGAUCUCGCAAAGGAACUUUACCUCCUCGUACUGUUGCACUAAUGCUCUUCGAAAAUUUUAUGGCACAAUUUCAUCCGCCGCCGCCAAGAGAGGCCAAUCUUCCAGCAUCGUCCUCCGGCAGCUCCCCUCCACCGGUGACCUCGGUCGUCGGUGGUGAGGGGUCGCCGGACGUGUGUGGAUCGUUUACGCAACGGAGGGUGGCAAUGAAGAGUGUUGGUGGAGCGAGAGUAAGUUCAGGUGAGCUCCGAUACAUCAAGAAUGAUAAUGGUGUCCGAUGUUUUGAUAGACUACUGGAAUUAACUAGCACAAAUGCCCGAGCUAGAGCUGCCGAGCUAGAGAUGCAGGCUCGCCCUGCAGCACGAGCAAGAGCUACGAGCUGGGGGUCCUGUUCAUCUUAA